rnacentral:tRNA from 1 species
GGAGGGGUGGCAGAGCGGUUGAAUGCACCGGUCUUGAAAACCGGCGUGGGUGCAGGCCCACCGUGGGUUCGAAUCCCACCCCAUCCGCCA